rnacentral:rRNA from 1 species
CCUACGGGAGGCUGCAGUGGGGAAUAUUGGACAAUGGGGGGAACCCUGAUCCAGCCAUGCCGCGUGUGUAAAGAAGGCCCUCGGGUUGUAAAGCACUUUCAGUGAGGAAGAACGCCUGGUGGUUAAUACCCAUCAGGAAAGACAUCACUCACAGAAGAAGCACCGGCUAACUCCGUGCCAGCAGCCGCGGUAAUACGGAGGGUGCGAGCGUUAAUCGGAAUUACUGGGCGUAAAGCGCGCGUAGGUGGCUUGAUAAGCCGGUUGUGAAAGCCCCGGGCUCAACCUGGGAACGGCAUCCGGAACUGUCAAGCUAGAGUGCAGGAGAGGAAGGUAGAAUUCCCGGUGUAGCGGUGAAAUGCGUAGAGAUCGGGAGGAAUACCAGUGGCGAAGGCGGCCUUCUGGACUGACACUGACACUGAGGUGCGAAAGCGUGGGUAGCAAACAGGAUUAGAUACCCUUGUAGUC